GGCUGGCUAGCGCAAUGGUAGCGCGUUACUUUCCGGUGCUUCCCUGGCUGGUAAAGGUUCUGGGUUCGAGUCCCAGGCUGGUCG